GAUGAACGCUGGCGGCGUGCCUAAUACAUGCAAGUCGAGCGAACAGACGAGGAGCUUGCUCCUCUGACGUUAGCGGCGGACGGGUGAGUAACACGUGGAUAACCUACCUAUAAGACUGGUAUAACUUCGGGAAACCGGAGCUAAUACCGGAUAAUAUAUUGAACCGCAUGGUUCAAUAGUGAAAGACGGUUUUGCUGUCACUUCUAGAUGGAUCCGCGCCUCAUUAGCUAGUUGGUAAGGUAACGGCUUACCAAGGCAACGAUGCGUAGCCGACCUGAGAGGGGGAUCGGCCACACUGGAACUGAGACACGGUCCAGACUCCUACGGGAGGCAGCAGUAGGGAAUCUUCCGCAAUGGGCGAAAGCAUGACGGAGCAACGCCGCGUGAGUGAUGAAGGUCUUCGGAUCGUAAAACUCUGUUAUUAGGGAAGAACAAAUGUGUAAGUAACUAUGCACGUAUUGACGGUACCUAAUCAGAAAGCCACGGCUAACUACGUG
rnacentral:rRNA from 1 species